rnacentral:ncRNA from 1 species
UAAGACAAUCGCUUUUUUUCUGAUUGGUUUAGUCCCUUUAAUCUUACGGAGACAAGUAAUUUUUAUGU